rnacentral:rRNA from 1 species
UGUGAACUGCAGGACACAUGAACACCGACACGUUGAACGCAUAUGGCGCAUCGGACGUUUAAACCCGACCGAUGUACGCAUUCUUGAGUGCCUACCAAAUCCUUGUUACACAAAACCCAUGACUACAUGGCGCGCGUGUUGCGAACUUGCAUCCAAACCCCGGCGAGCAGCCCGACCGGGGGCAAGUUGUCCGUCAACACGUUUUGCGCACUGUGCAUAUUGGCGUGCUUGGUCCCGAACUGCGGGACUCUGGGCGCCGAAAAGGGAAGGCUAUGUUGCUUACGCGCUAUGGGGAGCACUUGUCAAGUCGCACACGGUUCGAACUUCGGCUAUGGACGACCCGAGAACCCCGGCCGCCUACUAACACCAGGCUUGCCGGACCAAGGUUCCGGGGGUUACGCAUCAUCCGGCCGAGUCGUGUAAUGCGUGUGGCGACCCAUACAGGAGGCUCGCGGUUUAGCGUCGCUAGGCCAACAUCUAGCUACCAAGUACCCUUUCGCUCAUCAUAGUAGGCCUCAAGUGAUGUGUGACGACCCCCUGAAUUUAAGCAUA